rnacentral:lncRNA from 1 species
UUCAUUUCAUUAGAAACAAUAAACACCUGUAUAAGUAUCAUUAAUUAAAGAUGUGAGAAUUAUAUUUGUAAAUCUAAUUAUAUAGUUAAUGGCUAAUUGGCUGUUGACUUGAGAAGAGCAUAGGUGAGCUUAUAAGCUAAGCUGAGCUUGAUAUAACCAUAAACAAAAUGAAGAGAAGAGGAAUAAAGAAAGAGAGGAUUCAUUCACCGCUCAAAACAAAAGGGAGUGGUGGUGCCUCAUCUCAUGACCCUUUUUUAAGUCAAAAAGUGUGAAGAGUUGAGGAGUGUACAGUACACACACACACACACACGAGAGGUUCAUGUUAAAAGUACCCUUUACAAAAAGUGCCCCAAGCCAAAGGCAAAGGCAAACAAAUAUCUUAUAUAUGCAAUAUAAUUCUUCCUUAUCCCAUCACCGCAACCACAACAAUUACAAAACCCAUGGUUGAAAACUUUAUAUAUUAUUACUAUUUAAAUAAAAAUAAAAUGCAAAAUAUUAGCAAGUCAAUUAUCAAAUUUCAAAGGCAAUUUCAUAUUGGCUAAUCAUUACUAAACCGUUUGUGAUGUGAGUCUUUUCUAUAAUUAAGCAUAUCCCUUUAGGGACCCGUGAUGCUGUUUAUUGUCAAAUUUAUUUGCCCAAUUUUUUUUCGUAUUAUUGCGCUCCACAUAUGGCAUAUGCCAUAUUCCAAAAGUCAAAUAAUUUUAAGGCUACGUGCUCUAGAGCAAU